UACGUAGGUGGCAAGCGUUGUCCGGAAUCAUUGGGCGUAAAGCGCGUGUAGGCGGCUCGGUAAGUCUGCUGUGAAAGUCCAGGGCUCAACCCUGGGAUGCCGGUGGAUACUGUCGAGCUCGAGUCCGGAAGAGGCGAGUGGAAUUCCUGGUGUAGAGGUGAAAUGCGCAGAUAUCAGGAGGAACACCAAUGGCGAAGGCAGCUCGCUGGGACGUGACUGACGCUGAGACGCGAAAGCGUGGGGAGCAAACAGG
rnacentral:rRNA from 1 species